rnacentral:rRNA from 1 species
GAUGAACGCUAGCGGCAGGCUUAAUACAUGCAAGUCGAGGGGUAACAGGUCUGUAGCAAUACAGAUGCUGACGACCGGCAAACGGGUGCGGAACACGUACAGAACCUUCCUUCGAGUGGGAGAUAGCCCAGGGAAACUUGGAGUAAUAUCCCAUAGGAUCAUAGAGUGGCAUCACUUAGUGAUUAAAGAUUUAUCGCUUGAAGAUGGCUGUGCGGCUGAUUAGGUAGUUGGUGUAGGUAACGGCUCACCAAGCCUUCGAUCAGUAACUGGUGUGAGAGCACGCCCAGUCACACGGGAACUGGGACACGGGCCCGACUCCUACGGGAGGCAGCAGUAAGGAAUAUUGGGCAAUGGAGGCAACUCUGACCCAGCCAUGCCGCGUGGAGGAUGAAGGUCCUCUGGAUUGUAAACUUCUUUUAUUUGGGAAGAAAUGCCGAUUUUCUAAUUGGUUUGACGGUACCAGAUGAGUAAGCACCGGCUAACUCCGUGCCAGCAGCCGCAGUAACAC